rnacentral:rRNA from 1 species
UAUGUAGGGUGCAAGCGUUAAUCGGAAUUACUGGGCGUAAAGCGUGCGUAGACGGUCAAGUAAGUCGGGUGUGAAAGCCCCGGGCUCAACCUGGGAAUUGCAUUCGAGACUGCGUGGCUAGGGUGCAGAAGAGGGAAGCGGAAUUUCCGGUGUAGCGGUGAAAUGCGUAGAUAUCGGAAGGAACACCAGUGGCGAAAAGCGGCUUCCUGGUCCAGCACCGACGUCAGGCACGAAAGCGUGGGGAGCAAACAGG